rnacentral:lncRNA from 1 species
AUGGAUAAUAAUAUCAGAGUGGAAUGUUUACCACCAGGAGAAGCUUUCAAACUGUUCGAGGAGAAGGUUGGAUCAGAAACCCUUCGAAUGCAUCCAGAUAUUUGCAAGUUAGCUGAAGCGGUGGUUGAAGAGUGUGCAGGGCUACCUCUCGCUCUCAUUACAAUUGGGCGAGCCAUGGCAUCCAAGAAGACCCCUCGAGAAUGGGAAUAUGCUACAGAAGUUUUAAGGCAAUCAGCAGCCUCCGUGUUGCCAGGGGUAGGGAAAGAGAUGUAUCCCAAGUUAAAGUUCAGUUAUGACUGUUUACCUGAUGAAAGGUUUAGAUCUUGUUUCUUGUAUUGUUCUUUGUAUCCAGAAGAUCAUCCCAUCGAAAAAUACCAACUAGUAGAUUGUUGGAUCGGGGAAGGACUUUUGGACGAGCAUACCAGUUUGAGCAAUGCCAGAAACCAGGGACAUUUCAUUAUAGGUUCUCUUAUUGACGCAUGCUUAUUGGAGAAACGACAAAAUAAUGUUAGUGUAAAGAUGCACGAUGUGAUUCGCGACAUGGCUUUGUGGAUUGCUGGUGAAUCUGAGAAGGAGAAGUUUUUUGUAAAAUCAGGUGUUCAGUUAAAGGAACAACCGAAAGCUAAAAAGUGGGAAGAGGUAACAAGAAUGUCGCUGAUGGAGAAUCAAAUUGAAAAUCUAACUGAGUUAUUGGAAUGUCCCAAUCUCCAAACUUUGUUUCUUGGCAGGAAUGAUUUGAAGGUAAUCAUGGAUGAUUUCUUUAAUUUCAUGCCGAUGCUAAGGGUUCUGGACUUGUCUGGAAAUAGGAAUUUGGAAGAAUUGCCAGUAGGAAUUGCAAAGUUGGUUUCACUAGAACAUCUCAAUUUGUUAGGGACAGGAAUAAAAAAGUUGCCAGUCGAAUUGAAAGCCCUAGCAAAGCUGAAGUAUUUGAAUCUGGAGUGGACAGCUGAUCUAAAAAUGAUCCCACAACAAUUGAUAUCCAGUUUCUCCAAGUUGCAAGUACUGAAAAUGGAGGGAUGUGGCUAUGGAUGUUCAUUGGUUUUAGAGGAAAUGGAGCAUUUAAAAUAUUUGAAUGUGUUGACUCUUACUUUUAGAUGCGUUUGGGAGUUGGAAAAAGCUUCGAGGUUCAACAAGUUCUUUAGCUGUGCCAUUGAACAAGUAAGCCUUCUACAUUUCAGAGAUUCAAGAUCAUUGAAUAUUAUGGCUUUAGCAAAACUGCAGUGUCUAUGUGGUUUAAGCCUCUGGAGUUGUAUGGAUCUAGAGGAAGUGAAGAUCGAACGUAACAUAAUUGAAGGUGCAGGAUGCUUCCAUAGCCUUCGAUUUGUAAGGGUAGUCCUAUGCAAUCAUUUGAGGGAUGUGAGUUGGGUAACUUUUGCUUCACAUUUGGAAGCACUAUGGAUAGAUGAAUGCAAUGGUUUAGAAGAAAUCAUCAGUGAAGAAAAACUUGGUGAAGUCGCUGAGCUAAAAGGAAAUUUAAACUUAUUUUCUAAGCUCGAGAAUUUGUAUCUAUCUCGUCUGCCCAAACUAAAGACUAUAUACCACCAUGCUCUGCCUUUCCCACAGCUGAAGCAAGUAUACAUUAGAGGAUGCCCAAUGUUAAAGAAGCUCCCACUAAACUCCCAUAGUGCAAAAGGACAGAGGCUCGUCAUUACAGGAGAAGAGGGAUGGUGGAAAGAUGUAGAAUGGGAGGAUGAAUCCAGUCGAAUUGCUUUUCUCCCCACUUUCAAACCUUGUAUAUUGUAAGAAAUGUUGGAUACUAAUUAAGGGUUAAAACCAUUAUUGUAUCAUAACAUGUGUCAUUGCAAGUUCUAUUUUGUUUAUCUCUAAAUUACAUGUGGCAAUGACGUGUUUCUUUAUAUAAAAUAAAAUGUUUGAAUUUUAGAAUAUAUUAUGUUAAUGAAUUAUAAUUUGAAGUACAACUCUCGAGGUGUAUGGAUCUAGAGAAAGUGAAGAUCGAACGUAACAUAAUUAAAGGUGCAGGAUGCUUCCAUAGCCUUCGAUCUGUAAUCCUAGACGAAUGCAAUCAUUUGAGGGAUGUGAGUUGGGUAGCCUUUGCUCCACAUUUGGAAGUAUUAAGGAUAGCUGAAUGCAAUGGUUUAGAAGAAAUCAUCAGUGAAGAAACACUUGGUGAAGUCGCUGAGCUAAAAGGAAAUUUAAACUUGUUUUCUAAGCUCGAGAUUUUGUGUCUACGUAAUCUGGCCAAACUAAAGACUACAUACCAUCAUGCUCUGCCUUUCCCACUGCUGAAGAAAAUCAGAAUUGUAAAAUGCGGAAUAUUGAAGAAGCUCCCACUAAACUCCAAAAGUACAAAAGGACAGAGGCUGGUCAUUGAAGGAGAGGAGGGAUGGUGGAAAAAUGUAGAAUGGAAGGAUGAAUCCACUCGAAUUGCUUUUCUCCCUUCUUUCAAACAUUAUGUAAUCUAGGAAAAGUUGGACAUUAAUUAACGCUUAAAGCCUUGAUUGUAUCAUAACAUAUUGUUAGGGAUCGUCCCGAUUAAACAAGUAACAAAAAUAGCGGAAUAAAUUGAGAAAUUGAACACACAAAUUUAACGUGGAAAAAUCCCUCCAAAGAGGAUAAAAAACCACGGGCAAAGAUAAUUUUAUUAUAAUGGCAAAAGAAUGAAGAGUACAAAAGAUUGGAGAUAAAAACUAAACCCCGAAAACCCGAAAAACAAAGAAUCCUCAAAACGUAAACACAAAAUUCUCUGAAUGUGUUAUGAGUUCUAAUCUAAUGGGUGUAUUUCUUAAGGUUGUAAAAGAGCCUAUUUAUAGACUAAAUUCAUAUGUCAAAUAAUAAUAAAAUAAUCUAAACUAAUCAGUGUUUGACUGAAAUAAAUAAACAAAGUUUAACUAAAAGAUUAUUUUUCUAAUUUGACUACAAAUAGGAGUCAUACUUAACACAUAUCUAAUUGUAAGUUCUAUUUUGCUUAUCCUUAGAUUACAUGUAGUUUGGUUCUGUGUUUUACACUGACACUUUUUUUCUUUAGUAUGAAUUUGAAAAUAUAUUAUGUUAAUGAAUUAAAAUUUGAAGUAUAACUUUCAACAUAUCAUAUCAUUUUCUUUUAAUUUUAUAACUAAAAAUUUCCAUAAUUAUAGUAAAAUUAAAACUUUUCUUAUAAAUGUUGUUUUAGGUUGUAUUUCUGUAUAUUUAAAUAUGAGAUAAUUUUUUAUAGGAGAGAAAAUGUAUUAAAUAUAAAUUUGGAAUUUUAAAAAAUUAAAAAUUUAAGUUUUAAUAAGUUAAUAAAAUAUAAUUUAUUUUCAUUUAUUAUACAUGUUAUCAACAAAAAAAAAACUUAUCAUAUAAGAUUAGAUACUAAAUAUUGAGAAUUAUAUUAUAAUAAAAUAACGGUGACAUAAUAUAAAUUUCAAUAUUUUUAUAUUAAAACUCAUUAAUACAAAUUAUUAACAUUUUAAAAUUGUUUAUGAUUAUAGAAUCUGAUAUCAUGCAAGUACAAAAAUUAACAUAUUCGUUUCAAUGUUGAAAUAUGGUUAAAUGAUUAGAACGUGAGUUUGAGCAAAAAAUAAAUACAAAUUAUUUUUUGAUUCACACGUUUAAGAGACUAUAAUUAAGCAGUAAUUGGAAAUGUAUAAAAAAAUUUAUUAUUUAUAUUGGUUUUUGUUUAAUAAUUUUCUUUAAAAGACACCAACUUAAGCAUUGUUUCGAUAUCAUAUAUGAGCCCGGUUUAAUCUGUGAACAUCUUUAUUCAAACCCGAUUACUUAAAGUGAGAUUAUGUAUAUGAAUUCUCUAAAAUUAUAGACUCAUAAACAAGUUAUUGCAAUUAAUACUCAAAUGGCAGUCUCUGAAUUUAAUAAGUUACAGCAAACUGAUUAGUUUAAUGUUUGAUGAGUACAGUUAUUAGACAUCUCCUACUUCCUUUGCAUUUUGAAUUUAGCCCCUCUUGUAACACUAAAAUAACAUUAACAGGUAAAGACUGUGCACAGAGGUAAGCAUACUAUGCCCAAUUUCAACUUGAUUUUGUAAUAUUUUUUAUAUGGGUUCCAUGUCUUUAAUUGGAUUAUAAUAACCCCUGAAACAAUUUCUGAAUUCUUCCAUUGGCAUAAAUGGUCAUGAAUUCAGUUACCUUGAUCUUCCACUGUUAUCUGUUUUUUGCUGAUGUUUGUUUAAGUGGCAAUGAUAGUGCUUGUUAAUAUCUCAUACAUGAAUGCUGUGGGAAGCUAAUGCAGGGCAAAGCAAGUUGUGAGUUUCUACCCAACAUGCUCAUCUUAGUCUCUCUUUUCUGAUGGGAUCUUAAUAAUUGAGGUUCUUGUAUCUUUGUUGAAGUGGAAGCCUUUAAAGAAAGAGGUAGGUCCUAACAUGCCUGCUUUUUAUAUUAAACAAACUUUACACCUACUAUGAUUAAUUAAAAUAUGUCGUAUUAAUGUUGCUCAAGUUGUAAAAUAGAAUAAGAAAUUGCAGAUGGUAUCCACGGCACACAAAAGAUGCCUUACAAUGGACCCAUUGUGUCAAAACCAAAUAAAGUGGGAUAAAAGAGAGCUGUGUGCAAUGCAAGUCUUCCCACCAAGUCAAUGAUUUUACACACUUUACUGUAAUUAUCAUCAUAUUCACUAUCUUUUUUCCUUCUUCUUUUUUGUAUCAAAAUGCAUGUGAACUUCCAACAGUUUGUCUUUGUUUUUCUCCCCCUUGUACUCUCAAACUUUCAUAGAACUCCAUAAGCAUCUUUGAUUUAAUCCUUGCUUCUAUUUCCAGAAAUUGUUGAACUCACUCUUCUACAAUCAAAACUAGGUAUGGGUAAUAUCUUCUCAAUCUCACUUUCCCUCGAUCCCAUUAUUACCCGUUGCUCGGAUUGUGCAACUGGACAAGCAAGUUAUAUAUGCAACCUCGAAGAUAACCUCCAUGCUUUCCAAGCUGAAGUAGCAGGACUGAAGGAGCUCAGGAGUGAUCUGAUGAGCAGGGUCAGAAUUGCUGAAGAUGAGCAGCAGCUUAAGCGGCUAAACCAAGUUGAGGGUUGGCUUUCGAGGGCUGAAACUCUGAUAAACGAUGCUGAUCAACUGAUUGUCCAAAGUCCUCAGCAUGUUGAAAAUCUAUGUAUGGGAGGUUGUUGCUCCACUCAUCCUAGGUCCAGCAUCAAGUUCGGGAAGAAAAUUGCCAAAAAACUCCUAGAGGUGAAAGACCAGAAGGAGAAUGGAGAUUUCAGUGAUGUUGCCAGCAAGCCACCACUUCCUUCAGCAACUGAAAGACCUAGUGAGCCAACUGUGGGUUUAGAGUCCAAUUUCAACAAGGUUUGGAGCUGUAUUCAAAAGGAACAAGUGGGAAUUAGUGGCAUAUAUGGCUUAGGAGGGGUUGGCAAGACAACCCUCCUAAACCAAAUCAAUAACAAAUUCCAUGAUACUACCCAUGAUUACCAUGUCAUUUGGGCAGUUGCAUCACAAGAUCGGCCAAUUGAGAGAGUCCAGGAUCAAAUUGCCAAAAGAAUAGGCCUUUCUAAUGAAGGUUGGAAAUCUAUUGAAGAGAAAGCUGAAGACAUCUUCCAGGUAUUAUGUAAAAAGAAGUUUGCAUUGUUGUUGGAUGAUAUAUGGGAAUGGUUUGAUCUCACAAGAGCUGGGAUACCUAUUCCAACACAAGAAAAUGGCUCUAAAGUCAUUUUCACAACUCGUCGUCUUGACGUGUGCUGUCAAAUGCAACCGAACAGGGAUAAUAAUAUCAGAGUGGAAUGUUUACCACCAGGAGAAGCUUUCAAACUGUUCGAGGAGAAGGUUGGAUCAGAAACCCUUCGAAUGCAUCCAGAUAUUUGCAAGUUAGCUGAAGCGGUGGUUGAAGAGUGUGCAGGGCUACCUCUCGCUCUCAUUACAAUUGGGCGAGCCAUGGCAUCCAAGAAGACCCCUCGAGAAUGGGAAUAUGCUACAGAAGUUUUAAGGCAAUCAGCAGCCUCCGUGUUGCCAGGGGUAGGGAAAGAGAUGUAUCCCAAGUUAAAGUUCAGUUAU